ACCCUGACUGGAGAUCAAACCCACAAUCUAGAACCCGCCUAUUUACUCUGUCCAAAGAAAAACCUCCCUACUUCUGAGACAGUAUAAGGAGGGAGAAAUUUAAAUGAGGAUCAUAGGAAUACAACCAGAAAAGAUCUCUUUUUAAGGUUUUUCAGGCAAGCUUUGCCCAGUCACUAAUCAUCACAUUUGUAUUAAGAUUUUAUAUUAGCUUACUUUUUGUUAGUACUAGUCAGAUGAUUGCAGAAGUAAAGCUUAGGGGACAGAGUGCAUAUGAAUGAUGAUCAGAAAAACUGAUUCAGUAUUGGCUGCUAUUAAUAGCAA